UUCGAUCUUUCGCCCAAUAACCCUUUCCCUCUCGUUCUUCCGGCCAAGAAAUCCGGUGAAAUCGCUAGUUCUUGAUCAGCAAUCUUUCGAACAUGGAUCAAUUUGGGGGUGGAAGCUGGAACAUGAUCCCAACAAUGGCGACCCACAUCAACCCCACAACACCCUCCAAUCAAGACCACUUAUAUCUCCAACAACAACAACAAUUUCAACAACACCAAUUUCAUCACCAACAACAAUUCCAACUCCAACAUCACCACCAACAACAACAACAACCUUCACAAUCACUAGCUUCACACUUUCACCUCCAAAGCUUGGUGGAGAAUUUAGCUGAUGCGAUUGAGAAUGGAACCCAAGAUCAACAUUUUGAUACACUGUUGAAUUGAUUAUGAUUAUCAAUUAGAUUUUGAGAUAAGUUGCUAUUAAGGUUCUAAAAGUUGUUGGUUAUAAGAUAUGAAACUUUGAUUAUUUUGAAGGUUACUGAAUUGAGCAGCAACUUUGAGAAAUGCCAGCAACUCUUGAACACUAUAUUGGGAUCUAUCGCCAGCAAAGCUGCGGUAUGUUUGUAGUUUGUUGUUCAUGUAUAACUUGAUUUUUCUGCCAUAGUUGUCAAUAGCGAGCGCAGUGAUCGAAUGGUUGUUGAAUCUCUGCAAUUUGACCGUGAAAAGAAGGUGAUUCAUCCUUUGAACUGUUCAUUUCCUAUUGCCGAUAUCUGUAUGACACUUUCCAGCGAUGAGGCUGAUCGUUUAAUCAACGGUUUUGGUUUCGGUUUCUCUGCUUCAUCAACGAUGAGAACUCCAGAAGGUGUUUCUGGUUUUGGAAGCUGCAGAUGUGGUGGAGAUACUAGAGUUUGUUCAACGUUACCGUAAAUUCCGUUGUGUUCUAACGGUCUUCUUUGAUCUCUCUGUUCUCAAUUUCAUCAGAGUUAUUGUUACUGUUA